AUGAACGCUGGCGGCGUGCCUAAUACACGCAAGUCGAGCGAACAGACGAGGAGCUUGCUCCUCUGACGUUAGCGGCGGACGGGUGAGUAACACGUGGAUAACCUACCUAUAAGACUGGGAUAACUUCGGGAAACCGGAGCUAAUACCGGAUAAUAUAUUGAACCGCAUGGUUCAAUAGUGAAAGACGGUUUUGCUGUCACUUAUAGAUGGAUCCGCGCCGCAUUAGCUAGUUGGUAAGGUAACGGCUUACCAAGGCAACGAUGCGUAGCCGACCUGAGAGGGUGAUCGGCCACACUGGAACUGAGACACGGUCCAGACUCCUACAGGAGGCAGCAGUAGGGAAUCUUCCGCGAUGGGCGAAAGCCUGACGGAGCAACGCCGCGUGAGUGAUGAAGGUCUUCGGAUCGUAAAACUCUGUUAUUAGGGAAGAACAAAUGUGUAAGUAACUAUGCACGUCUUGACGGUACCUAAUCAGAAAGCCACGGCUAACUACGUG
rnacentral:rRNA from 1 species